rnacentral:rRNA from 1 species
CAGACUCCUACGGGAGGCAGCAGUGGGGAAUAUUGCACAAUGGGCGCAAGCCUGAUGCAGCCAUGCCGCGUGUGUGAAGAAGGCCUUCGGGUUGUAAAGCACUUUCAGCGGGGAGGAAGGCGGUGAGGUUAAUAACCUCAUCGAUUGACGUUACCCGCAGAAGAAGCACCGGCUAACUCCGUGCCAGCAGCCGCGGUAAUACGGAGGGUGCAAGCGUUAAUCGGAAUUACUGGGCGUAAAGCGCACG